rnacentral:rRNA from 1 species
AAUCAACGCUGGCGGCGUGCCUCAGACAUGCAAGUCGAACGCGAAAGUCCCCUUCGGGGGACAAGUAGAGUGGCGCACGGGUGAGUAACACGUAGGUAAUCUACCUUCGGGUGGGGAAUAACCCCGGGAAACCGGGGCUAAUACCGCAUAAUGCAGCGGCACCUAAUGGUGACAGUUGUUAAAGCGGGGGAUCGCAAGAUCUCGCGCCUGAAGAGGAGCCUGCGGCGGAUUAGCUAGUUGGCAGGGUAACGGCCUACCAAGGCGACGAUCCGUAGCCGGCCUGAGAGGGCGGUCGGCCACACUGACACUGACAUACGGGUCAGACUCCUACGGGAGGCAGCAGUCGGGAAUUUUGGGCAAUGGGCGAAAGCCUGACCCAGCAACGCCGCGUGAAGGAUGAAAUCCCUCGGGAUGUAAACUUCGCAAGAACGGGAGGAAUAAGUUUGUGCUAACACCACAAGCGAUGACGGUACUGUUUGUAAGCUCCGGCUAACUCCGUGCCAGCAGCCGCGGUAAUAC